GCUGAUUGGUAGAGAGGGGGAGAGGUCGCGCGAGAGCUUCGCCUUUUCAUAGGUGUAACAGCUGUCAAUCAAAUCCGACAGCCAGAAGCGUGCCGCUCCAGCUAGCUUUGUCCCGCCCACCAGCGCUGUGCGGCAAUUCGUGGAGCGGACAGCGCUGCUGCGGCGCCAUCGAUAGAAUCACCCGUCAAUCCGCGGCCAGCGGGUUAACCCCGCCCACCCCCUGCCGCCAUUGGCCAGUCUCUCCGUGCUUUAAGAGGGGUAGGGCGGAAAGGGGAGCUUUUUCCGCUUCCGGUGCUGGCGGCGGGAGGGUCGCGAGUGGAUGUGGGGGCCGGGCAUGGCGGUGGUUGAGCUGCGGCCGGCUGAGCUGAGGGUGCUCAGGAGCACUGUGGGAGGCGUGCGGAGCUGCCCCCGUCAGCCGGGGGAGCGCCGACUUCGGGGCGCGUCGGGUAGCAGCUCAGUCUGCGAGGAGCUCCUGGGCAGGCCCUGAGGCCUUCCCUGGUUCUUCUCCGAGCGCUUGGAGAUGAGCACAGGAGAGUUCUGCAGCAGCGGUGUCCGGGCGAUAAUGAUUUAAAUUGCCUGCUGAGAAGAAAUAUUAAUGGGACUUCCAUGAGACUCCUGAUGUUUUGUUGAUGUUCCUGUUAGAAGACCUAUUAUCACCUCCUUUUGAAAACAGCAAUCAAAGUUGAUACUCAGACUGCAAGGCUUAAACAGGCAGUCACAAAUAAGAUUACUUCCAGGCAUUCUGCAGCUGAGCAAAAUGAGUUCUGAGUCAGUGGUUUUGAGGUUCUUCUGUAGUACACAAGCAGUUAGACAUCUAAGAAUAUUACAGUUUUUUCUUCCUUUUCAAAGCUGGAUACCUGUGUCUUCCUGACUUGUGGCAGAGGCUGGAAGUGAAGCCCCUUAUGUGUGAGAACAGUUGAGCUCUUAAGUGGUUUUAUCUUGUGAAGCUUCUUAAUUGGGGUGGUUUGAGCUCCUGUUCUGAAUGCCAGGUAAAUAAUUUGAGGCAUACAAUCAGGGCAAUAUCUGGUGGCAUUAACAUAUCCUAAACUUUGAGAGCAUUAGGAAUGCUUAAAAUGUACCUACAGUUCUGGCCUGCACAGUUAAAAUCUGUGUGGCAUGCUUAAAUUGUGAAUGCUGAAGAAGCAGCUGUGAACAGUUCCCAAUUAUUUGGGAGAUGUACUAGUUUGAAGACGUUGUGCAACAAGCAGCAGAACUGUUGAAAUGCUAUAUUUUUUUCUGGUAAAAACUCAAGUUUCAUGGGGAACUGACAUUUUAGAAUCUGAAGUGUAUCUAACUUUUUCUGGAUCUAGCCAGAAGACCUAUAAGCAAAUUUGUUUCUGAACUAGAUGAAUAAUUGAAUCACACUUACACAUUCAUAGGAUACUCCCAAGAGGGUGUUUGCAUUAGCUUUAAAAUUUAACAGUCCAUUUCAUAAUUGACAAAGGCAAAGGAUAUAUAUGAAAUUACGUAAGUCAGUUUUAACAGAUGGAUGAUCUAUGUGAUCUGAAUGAGUUGAUUUGGAUCAUGUAAGAAUGCCUUUGGCAGGGAGAAGUCGUGCUGGUAAUCAAAGCAAAAAUGUUUGAGCCCAGCAUUUAACAAGUAGAACAGAACGUUCAAUCUUGAAUGCAGACCUUGAAACUAGAUACUCUUUAUGAAGAUUUCAAGCUUGACUCAAUAACACUUCCCAAUAUAUGCCAGUUCCUGCUAAGUCUGCUUUUGGAAUUGAGCAAUAGAAAGAGACUUGGAUUCUAAUACAUGCAUCUCCUGUUCUUUGUGUUCACUUUUGACCAGUGUUGAAGAACAGGGUCCUGGGCCCUGAGCAUCAGGCCUAACUAUGUAUGGUAAUCUUUACAAAUUGUUAUGUACUUAAAAUGCUGGAAGUGGCUUCUGGUUUUUCAUAAGCAUGGGAAAACCCUAGGGCAUCUUUUGCCUGUAAGGAAUUCUUGUUCCCUAGUAAAGCCCUGGAGCAUGUUCAUGGCACAGUUACCAUGAUAGGAGUGCUUUUGUUGGCUUGGUUUGUUUUGAGAAUGUGCAGCUGCAGAGGCAAGAUCUCUAAUGUGCAUUUACUUGCUGUCCACGAGGGGGCUCUGGCAGGUCGGGGCUGAAUGCUCAAGGUCCCCAACGGAGUUACUUCACUAAAAUGGCAGGCUGUAGCAACUGGAUGCCUGUUGCCCCUGGGGUGAUUAAAUCUGUUCUGCAAAGUAAUUCUGUCUCAUUGCAAGAAAUACUACAUCUAUUGGAAAAACACUUCCUGAGCUUUAAUAACAGCAGUGGGUAAAUGAUCUUUUCCAUGGGAGAGGGCAGAUGCUACCCAACGUGUCAUUACAUGGGGAUUUCAGCUGUAUGAGAGAUUUCUCCAAAUAAAAAUUCAAGUGGUUUGCACACGUCAGCAUGUCUGUAAAGUACCUGGAAUUGUUACAGAGAACCUUAAGUAUGUUUUUAUCUUAGCAGUGUAAACUUAGUGCUGUGACAUUUCAAUAAAGAUUUGUGGCUUUUG